rnacentral:rRNA from 1 species
UGCCAGCAGCCGCGGUAAUACGGAGGGUGCGAGCGUUAAUCGGAAUUACUGGGCGUAAAGCGCAUGCAGGUGGAUGAUUAAGUCAGAUGUGAAAGCCCGGGGCUCAACCUCGGAAUAGCAUUUGAAACUGGUCAUCUAGAGUACUGUAGAGGGGGGUAGAAUUUCAGGUGUAGCGGUGAAAUGCGUAGAGAUCUGAAGGAAUACCAGUGGCGAAGGCGGCUUUCUGGACCAAUACUGACGCUGAGAUGCGAAAGCGUGGGGAGCGAACAGGAUUAGAUA